UACGGGGGGGGCAAGCGUUGUUCGGAAUUACUGGGCGUAAAGGGCUCGUAGGCGGCCAACUAAGUCAGACGUGAAAUCCCUCGGCUUAACCGGGGAACUGCAUCUGAUACUGGAUGGCUUGAGUUCGGGAGAGGGAUGCGGAAUUCCAGGUGUAGCGGUGAAAUGCGUAGAUAUCGAGAGGAACACCUGCGGCGAAGGCGGGUUGCUGGGCUGACACUGACGCUGAGGCGCGAAAGCUAGGGGAGCGAACGGG
rnacentral:rRNA from 1 species